rnacentral:rRNA from 1 species
CCUACGGGUGGCAGCAGUGGGGGAUAUUGCACAAUGGGGGGAACCCUGAUGCAGCGACGCCGCGUGGGUGAAGGAGCGUUUCGGCGCGUAAAGCCCUAUCGGCAGGGAAGAAGAUGACGGUACCUGACCAAGAAGCCCCGGCUAACUACGUGCCAGCAGCCGCGGUAAUACGUAGGGGGCAAGCGUUAUCCGGAUUUACUGGGUGUAAAGGGGGCGCAGACGGCAAUGCAAGCCAGGAGUGAAAGCCCGGGGCCCAACCCCGGGACUGCUCUUGGAACUGGCGGGCUGGAGUUGGAGAGAAGUACGCGGAAUGCGCGGUGUAGCGGUGAAAUGCUUAGAUAUCGCGCAGAACCCCGAUUGCGAAGGCAGCGUACCGGCUCCACACUGACGCUGAGGCACGAAAGCGUGGGUAUCGAACAGGAUUAGAUACCCUUGUAGUC